rnacentral:rRNA from 1 species
GAUGAACGCUGGCGGCGUGCCUAAUACAUGCAAGUCGAGCGAAUGGAUUAAGAGCUUGCUCUUAUGAAGUUAGCGGCGGACGGGUGAGUAACACGUGGGUAACCUGCCCAUAAGACUGGGAUAACUCCGGGAAACCGGGGCUAAUACCGGAUAACAUUUUGAACCGCAUGGUUCGAAAUUGAAAGGCGGCUUCGGCUGUCACUUAUGGAUGGACCCGCGUCGCAUUAGCUAGUUGGUGAGGUAACGGCUCACCAAGGCAACGAUGCGUAGCCGACCUGGGAGGGUGAUCGGCCACACUGGGACUGAGACACGGCCCAGACUCCUACGGGAGGCAGCAGUAGGGAAUCUUCCGCAAUGGACGAAAGUCUGACGGAGCAACGCCGCGUGAGUGAUGAAGGCUUUCGGGUCGUAAAACUCUGUUGUUAGGGAAGAACAAGUGCUAGUUGAAUAAGCUGACACCUUGACGGUACCUAACCAGAAAGCACCGGCUAACUACGUGCCAGCAGCCGCCGCCG